rnacentral:rRNA from 1 species
GAUGAACGCUGGCGGCGUGCUUAACACAUGCAAGUCGAACGGUGAAGGAGAGCUUGCUCUCCGGAUCAGUGGCGAACGGGUGAGUAACACGUGAGCAAUCUGCCCCUGACUCUGGGAUAAGCGCUGGAAACGGCGUCUAAUACCGGAUACGAGCUGCGAAGGCAUCUUCAGCAGCUGGAAAGAACUUCGGUCAGGGAUGAGCUCGCGGCCUAUCAGCUAGUUGGUGAGGUAAUGGCUCACCAAGGCGUCGACGAGUAGCCGGCCUGAGAGGGUGACCGGCCACACUGGGACUGAGACACGGCCCAGACUCCUACGGGAGGCAGCAGUGGGGAAUAUUGCACAAUGGGCGCAAGCCUGAUGCAGCAACGCCGCGUGAGGGACGACGGCCUUCGGGUUGUAAACCUCUUUUAGCAGGGAAGAAGCGAAAGUGACGGUACCUGCAGAAAAAGCACCGGCUAACUACGUGCCAGCAGCCGCGGUAA